rnacentral:rRNA from 1 species
GCACAAGCGGUGGAUGAUGUGGUUUAAUUCGAUGCAACGCGAAAACCUUACCCACCUUUGACAUGUACGGAACCCUUUAGAGAUAGAGGGUGCUCGAAAGAGAGCCGUAACACAGGUGCUGCAUGGCUGUCGUCAGCUCGUGUCGUGAGAUGUUGGGUUAAGUCCCGCAACGAGCGCAACCCUUGUCAUUAGUUGCUACAUUCAGUUGGGCACUCUAAUGAGACUGCCGGUGACAAGCCGGAGGAAGGUGGGGAUGACGUCAAGUCCUCAUGGCCCUUAUAGGUGGGGCUACACACGUCAUACAAUGGCUGGUACAAAGGGUUGCCAACCCGCGAGGGGGAGCCAAUCCCAUAAAGCCAGUCGUAGUCCGGAUCGUAGUCUGCAACUCGACUGCGUGAAGUCGGAAUCGCUAGUAAUCGUGGAUCAGAAUGUCACGGUGAAUACGUUCCCGGGUCUU